rnacentral:misc_RNA from 1 species
AAUUCUCAAAACCCCUUCUUUUGCCGGAAUGGAUUUUGGACUUGGAGGCCUUUUGCUGGUUUCACCUCGAAACCAGCUCCUCCUAAAUGGAUUAGUGGGGUCUGCUUUGCCGAUCCUUGACGUGAUAAGAUGCUUCUACGUCUCGGGUUUUGGCACUGUGCCUCUGCUUCUAACCGUCUCAUUGACAACGAUGGUGUUCCGGUCACCGCCGAUUCCUCGGUGGGAGGCUUGACCCACAAAACGA